GCGGGAGUAGCUCAGUUGGUAGAGCAUCAGCUUCCCAAGCUGAGGGUCGCCGGUUCGAGCCCGGUCUCCCGCU
rnacentral:tRNA from 5 species